rnacentral:lncRNA from 1 species
GAAAAUGAAUAUUAUGAAUUCUUGAAGCAACAUGAGUAAUCGAGGAGCCAAAAUGGAAACAUUAAAACUUGGAGGACAUAUUGGAUGUUAGACUCUACAGAGGCUUUGAAGCGGGUGGAAUCGUCAUCGCCGGAGAAGUUGGAUUCCUUGGGCACUCGUCGAAUUUGCCGCUCUUCUUGCAGAUCGAGUUUAUGCACAUGAUCGUAUAUCAAUCACACUCGUCAUUCACGCAUUCUCUCUUUUAAUUUAUGAAAUAUCUUUAUAUUUUCUUGGUUGAUAACCGAGGGGAGAAAUUAUGGAGCGAUGAAGGGUAAAUUUGAUUUCAUUCCAUCACCCAAUGAACAUGUGAGUCCAUUGUAUGUAUUUAUCUGAACAAGGAAAUGUGCGAAAAUGGAUGUUCUCCUCAAUUUGAUUGAUUAUCAGUUGGUGUUUGAGACAUGAAAAAGCAACUUGGAAAGAAUAUGUGAAAUGGAGUGAAAAUUGCAAGAGUUAGGGCCUGUGAAAUUAAAAAGACCAAAAAGUCCUUCAAAAUCGCAUGUGCA